rnacentral:rRNA from 1 species
UACAGAGGGUCUCAAGCGUUGUUCGGAUUCAUUGGGCGUAAAGGGUGCGUAGGUGGCUUGGUAAGUCGGAUGUGAAAUCCCGGGGCUCAACCCCGGAACUGCAUUCGAUACUGCCAGGCUGGAGUACUGGAGAGGAGAUUGGAAUUUACGGUGUAGCAGUGAAAUGCGUAGAUAUCGUAAGGAAGACCAGUGGCGAAGGCGGAUCUCUGGACAGUUACUGACACUGAGGCACGAAGGCCAGGGGAGCAAACGGG